rnacentral:snRNA from 1 species
GGGCUGUGAAGGAUCUGACUACAUGUGUCACCCCAUUGAGCACCAGGGUUGAUUUGGCUGAUCUGGCUGGCUGGGUGGGUGUUCCUUUCCUCCCUCAGUGCUCCACCUGUUUUCCUCCCAAAGCUGUGGACUUGGUCAAAGAGGCCGUCCUUUGAUAUACAAGUAGUUGCACUCCCUUGCUAGAACCUACAAACAAGCUCUCAAAAUAUUCUUACAAAAUGGGCUAACUACAGUCCCCAAUUUUGAAGAUGG